AAAACUUCCCAAACCCCUGGNUGACAUACCUAUACGUUGCCUCGGCGGAUCAGCCCGCGCCCCGUAAAACGGGACGGCCCGCCCGAGGACCCCUAAACUCUGUUUUUAGUGGAACUUCUGAGUAAAACAAACAAAUAAAUCAAAACUUUCAACAACGGAUCUCUUGGUUCUGGCAUCGAUGAAGAACGCAGCAAAAUGCGAUAAGUAAUGUGAAUUGCAGAAUUCAGUGAAUCAUCGAAUCUUUGAACGCACAUUGCGCCCGCCAGUAUUCUGGCGGGCAUGCCUGUUCGAGCGUCAUUUCAACCCUCAAGCUCAGCUUGGUGUUGGGACUCGCGGUAACCCGCGUUCCCCAAAUCGAUUGGCGGUCACGUCGAGCUUCCAUAGCGUAGUAAUCAUACACCUCGUUACUGGUAAUCGUCGCGGCCACGCCGUUAAACCCCAACUUCUGAAUGUUGACCUCGGAUCAGGUAGGAAUACCCGCUGAACUUAAGCAUAUCAAAAGCGGGGAAGGAAA
rnacentral:rRNA from 1 species